CUGGAAUAGUGCAGGAGAGGAGGACAAGGAAGUGUUCCUGUCCCAUAAGAUAAGCCAUUCUAGGACAAGGGGGUUGCUGACUGCAUUCCACUCUUGUAACUAAGACACCACUGAGCAAGCACAUGAGGUCACAGAAAGGUUGCUUGGAAAGUUCUGCAGGAGAAUUGUCUCUGAGCCUCCAGAGAAGGGAAUUGUAGGUGCUGGGCCAAGGGCUCUUGGCCAUGCGAGCACUGCCCCUAGGAAGGCUUGCAGACAGGUCAUCUGGUACAACAUUGAAUAGAAGUGGUCAGAGUGCACAUUCUUGCCUUGUUGCUGACCUGAGGAAGAGAAGCAUUUGUCUUUUUUUCAAUUAGGUGCUGAUACUGUUUAGAGCUGUUCAGCCAAUCUGGAGGCUGAGAGGCCCAAGUGGCUGCAGAACAUACACUAAGUGACCUCGUCAAAGACGUGAUGGCUACUAAGUAUGUAGGAACGUCAUUUGUAACUCCGGGGCUCCUCUGGGAAGCAAGGAUUCAGUGCCAUUGUGCAGAGAAUGGAGCGCACUCUCUGGAGAAGUCUGGGAAAGUCUGCAAGAUGCAGAGGGUCAACUGGAUCAUUGGUGUGAAAAGCAGUGGUCAGGGAAGGGGAAACUGGUCAUCAAGAGAAAGAGAGCUGUCGUCGGAAGGCAGAUCCUCCUGCAGACUGUAGGAGGCUUCUUCAGGAGAAAGAUCUGGAAGGAGGUCCGAGUCUUCCUCUUGGUUCUCUUCACAGGACAGGGAGUCCUCGGUGUCUUUUAAGCAACCUUCUAAAAGGCUGUUCAAAUAGU